GUCAGGUCGAUUAACCUCCACAGCUCUGCCAACACAGACACGUCCAUCUGAGGAGAGAAGGAGACCGCAAAACACAACACAAUGCGUGAGCUCUCAUCUGCAUGACAUUUUAGGUACUGUCAGAGUACUCCCACAUUUGUUCAGACCAAACACACGCACACGGCUGAAAUAAUAAGAAGUUAGAAGUGCAGUAUGUAAUACUACAAUAUUGGAAAGACUUGGUUCUCCAACACCUCCUUCUCAGACUUGACGCUCAAGUAGGUUGACAGAUUAAGAACAUGUAACAGGAAUGAACCAACGAAAGGUGACGCAUCUUACGCUCCACGGGAAGGGCAUCCGGAGGUAACUUAAGUUUACACAAGGAUCUGGAUCUACGAAUCCCUUAUGAAGGUUUAAGAUAACCCAACAAUUGAGAAAUGAUGCCUACAACUCUGAGGAGAUCAGAUGACGCCAACCUUGAACCAAUAUUUAAAAUUACCCAACUCACUGUUACGUUGUAAGAAGUUUGAUCACAGCAUAUACAGUUGAGGUCAAAAGUUUACAUACAC